GACUCAGAGAAGUUGGUAUUCAGUGCGCAGUGACCUGCUUCACGCUGUAUUAUUUCAUCACAGAUGUCAGGAUUAAAGAAAACCGGAGCUGUUAGUAGAGAAACUAUAAUAACACUAUUCUGUAUCAUUAAAUGGAAUAUUGAAAAUUUUGAUGGAAUACCAGAAAAAAAGAGAAGAGUAAUCAGAGCUAUUACUUUCAGCAAACUACAAGUACAGUUUUCAAAGGCAAGAGAGAAAAUGUGUUGCCAAGGAGACCCAUUGUGUGCAGAGGAAGGAGGAGUAAUGAUACCUGUGACCAUGCAGCUAUAAUUUCCCCUGCCUCCAUCUCUUGACCUGCAAGAGCUCACAAAAGAUUGAGAUUACAGUAUAUUUGCUGAAGGAAAAUGCACUGUCUUUUAGCCAAGAGAUCUGGAAACAGAAGAAGUAGAAAUUUGGAAUGAAGAGAAGAGACAAGAAGAACUAGCCAAAAAAAUGUCAAAUGAAAAUUUUAGCCAGGAUGCCCUUCUCCUGCCUUUGGAUGUCAGAACUCCAGGUUCUCUGGCCUUUGGACUCCAGUGGUCCACCUGGCUCUUGGGCUUUUGACCUUAAACCGGGAGUUACAUCAUUGGCUUCCUUAGCUCUGAGGCUUCUGGACUUGGACUGAACCACACUACUGGCUUCCAUAGUUCUCCAGAUUGCAGAUGACCUAUCAUGUGGGAUCCUCAGCCUCCAUAAUUGAGUAAGCCAAUUCUCCUAAUAAAUCCCCUCUCAUAUAUCUUUCUGUAUCUCCUGUCAGUUCUGCCUCUCUGGAAAACACUGCCUAAAACACAUGGCUCUGCCCUCAGCAUUUUAGGCCCUAUAUGCACAGACAACUUUUUAGAUAAAAAGCACAAUUGCUUUUCUCUUACUGAUGUUCACGAUAUCGCCCUUAUUUUGAUUAUAUCAAUGUUCAGCUGAAACCAGCCUGCUUGAAUCAUCUAUUACUUCAAGUCACCUCUGCUUUGAUGAUUUCUCAUUAUCAGCUUGCUGCCUUUGUGAGACUCAUUGCAGAUUCUAAAUAUUUUCCCUGACUCUUUUCUUCCUUUAUCUGCCUUCCUCUUUCUCUACUUUCUUUCCUUCCUAUUGAGCCAACAGAUGUUUUUAGAGAAGUAAAGUAUUAUUAGACAGUACAAUAUUUUCUUUUUCUGAAAAAUACAGCCUCUAUUCCCCUCAGAAGUAGAUUUCUAUGCAAACAUUUUUCACGGUUCCUAUAAAAACUCUCACCUAUGCUGUCUCUUUGUCUGUUUUUUGAAACUAUUCAUCAUUUUGUGGUUAUAAACCUGUAUUAUUUUCUGUUUGAUUUUUGUAUCAUCUGUUUUCUACAUUUUAAAUAAAUAUAAAAGAAAUUUUGUUUUCUGUCCAGGGAUUGCACGACACCCUUUAGAGAUUAACUGGAGAACCAGUGACAUAAUACAUUGAUAAGAAUUCCUGAAUUCAUACUUAUUGCUCCUAUAAUUGAGCCAUGUAAAUUCAUCCUCUUCCAAGCUCUUCCUCUGUUCUUGACAAAAAUGAGUGCCACUAUGGCCAUCACUGCAGGGCAAUGCUGCCAAGUAAUAAAAGCACAUGGCCUGGGCCCUCAAGAGGAUUGCAGUUCAUUUGAAGACUUCGUAAUAGAUUUUUGGCUACUUCCCUCACUAGAACUAAGUACAGAUUCAAUGUUCCAAAGCUGGAAACUCUCAAGUUUAGGAGAAAAAUCGAAGUUAUCUGUUAUGGGACCAAUAAUAAGUUCCUUUACAUCUUAAAGCUUAGCUGCGGUCUGCUGCAGUGGCUCACUCCUAUAAUCCCAGCCCUUUGGGAGGCCAAGGCAAGCAGAUCACCUGAGGUCAGGAGUUCGAGACCAGCCUGGCUAACAUGGCAGAAGCCUGUCUCUACUAAAAGUACAACAAUUAGCCGGGCGUGGUGGCCGGGGGAGGGGGCGGGCCUGUAAUCCCAGCUACUCAGGAGGCUGAAGUAGGAGAAUUGCUUGAACCCGGGAGGCGGAGGUUACAGUGAGCCAAGAUUGUGCCACUACACUCUAGCCUGGACAACAAGAGCAAGACUCCGUCUCACCAAAAAAAAAAAAAAAAAAAAAAGGCUUAGCUGUUUCCUCAACUCAUUUCCCCAAAUUGCUGAAAUUUCUGGAAUAAUCAAGUUGGAGUGAGGGUGGAAAUUCUUUCAAAAAAUAUGGGUAACUUCAGGACCCUAGAUGCUUUCAAGUGCACAAUGAAGACGGGGAAAAAUGACUGAGUGGGUUGAGUGUCACCCUAAUCUUCUUCAACUAGCAGAUAACUUUUUUUUAAUAUUUUAAAUUACUUUUAUUAUAACCCUAUAGAGACCCGCAAUUAAACACUAAAUAUGACUUACAUUGUCCCCCCAAAGUGACUCUCCUUUAAAAAAGAAUGAGAUGUAUGUGUAUAUGUGUGUGUAUCUAUCUAUAAAUGGGUAUAUAUGUAUAUAUGAAGUAUAUAUAUCUAUGUAUGGUAUGAUGUCAUAUUUUUUGACCUAUGUGUAUUUUUUCUCUUAAAUCUAUUGAUUUUGCAUGAUGUAGGAGCACACAAUUUUGGAAGGAACUGAUUUCCUGAAAGGGUCCAGCCAUGCAUUGAAGGAGGGGGUAGAUUGCUAAACUAAAAAUGCAUUUGUGUUAAACAAUAUUCAGCUUGUAGCUGGCACAUAGUAGGCAUUCAAUUAAUAUUUUAUGAAUGAAUGAAAAAAUAAAUGAAAGAUGAAUACUAGCUUAGAUAUUUUUCCCUGUAGGGCCUCUGGCUAGCCAGGUUCAUGCUGUUUCUUCAAUUUAUUGAGGUCACUUUGAAUUCUGAUCUUUUCUUCUGAGGUGUUAGCAAUCCCUUCUAAGUUGGUGUCAUCUGAAAAAUACUACCUGUAUGAAAUGUGUGACUGAGUUAAGCUAGGAGUGUCAUGUUGGACAUUUUCUUAAACUAGAACACAGCUGGAAAUUAUUACACAACCAAAAGCAUACUUCAUUUCAGUCUUAUCAGGCCAGCCUUGUCCACAUUUGACUGAUUUUUCACUUAUCAUCUAUAAUCAAUCACUCAAUUUCUUCACUAAAUAGAAAAUAAGAUGCACAACGAAGCCUCAUGAAAAUUAGAAGACAGAAACUGUAAUAGGUUAGGGCACUAUGGAAAUACCUUGUAAACGUACUUUGUAAAUUAUGCUCCAGUGCAUACCUAUUGUAUAUCCCUCAAUAGGCAAGGCUUGACACAUAAUAUAUAGAAACAAUCCAUUAUCGAUUUUCCCAUAGGGCAGAUGUAAAAUCUCGAAUGCACUCAUAUUCCUCUUUCAAAAAUUUUGGUAGAAAAAUAUCUUACUGCUGGGAGCUUAAUUCUCUUCAAGUUUCAUAACCAAG
rnacentral:lncRNA from 1 species